GGAAUAUAUCAAUACAUAUAUACAUUUAUAUCGUGCUGGAAAUAAGUUACUUGUUACCAUUUUGCAAAUCACGCCAUGUCAACAAAUUAAUGUAACCGACUAAAAUGGUGUAUUUAAUUAUAUUAAAUUAUCAUUUAAUCAAUUUGCAUUGCGCAGCAAGGUAAACGUGAUUAACUACUAAAAUCUAUCUUUGGGUGAUUAACUACUAAAAUCUAUCUUUGGGAACUUAAAAGAUAUUUAGGAAACCAGUAAUAUAGUAAUAAAUCGAUACACUAUAUAUGACCGUAAAUCAGUGGUAUAUUUACCUUACCCUUAAAAUAGCAAUAAAUCGAUACACUGAUUUAAAUUGAGUAUACCACUAUUCUAAUUCUAAUAUUUUUUAACACAAUUCUAAUUCUACUAUGAAGGAAAAAUUAAUAUCAUAAAAAAUAUACAUUGACCAGAAGCAUGUUAACCUGACAUAUCAUAAAGAAAAUACUGUAUGUACAAUGUUCUCUCUGAUGAAUAUGUAUAAUUAGAUUAUACGACAUUAUCAAUGGUCUUGCAUUUUUAAUAGUGGUUACAAAUUGGGGAUUGUAUUGAGUAACUACGAAAUCUGUUAUCACUUCAUUUAAAAAAUCAUACAUCAAUAUUAAAAUUGCAUAAUGAAGAAAUCCAAUAAGGAAUAAAAAAUGUUAACAUCAAAGCCUAUUGAUGUUCAAUACAUCUAUAAUAAUAAAACAGGGUUUUCUCUCACUUUAGUCUUCCACGUCACCGCAGAGGGUAGGGCGUUUUUCACCACGUGGCAUGUAAAAAAAAUUCUGACUUCGACGAUUGUGUGCUUUUGUCUGAGCUGAACUUUUUGUUUUUAAUAUGGAUAGAUUACGUUUGGGCUUUUACAUAAGCCCCUCACAAAGUAUGCAGACAGAUCCAUUAAUCUUUAGGGUUUUAAUCAUCAGUCGUUGGUGAAGAUUUGUUGCAGAAAAGUCGUGCCUCUUGAGAUAACAUCGGCUCCGGCCAAGCUUGAGUAACAGCUACAUUCAUCAUUGUUCUGUCGCAUUAAAAUCAAGCAUUUACAUGAUUUACAUCGAUUCGGUUUCAAUCAAAACCGUUGCAGCCUCAUUACUUUUUCCGUAUAUUAAAGCCGAGUAUGCAGUCUUUUGUUACUAUUUACAAAACGUUCUCUUUAGGCACUGAAGAAAGAAAAAGUUCCACUGCCAUCCUCUAUACCUGCCAAAUCCGGAGGUGGAACACAGAAGAAGAUGGAGCUAAGGAAAGCAAAAAUAGAAGGUGAACAACAGUUUCUCUUCGAUCAGGCAACUACCGACAAACUUCGGUCUGAAGGCCUUAUGUUCAGAUUGAUCUAGCCUAUUUUCGCUGACUGUGUUCGUGCAAGUUACUAUCUCCACUCUUUAAAGGUUCAAACUUUUCAGCUCCUGCAUCGUGUGUGUGUGUGUGUGUGUGUUAUUUUCUAGCUAAUUCAAUGGGUUUGGUUCUCUUUCAUGGAUUUGAAUAUCAAUUAUCAGUUAUUUGUUAUAUUUUAUAAAAGCGCAACGUUUUCAACUUUUUCUGGAUAAGCUCUUUAUGGUGAUCUUAGUUUUUUAAUGCUUUUGAUUGAUAUAACUGGAUGGAUUUUGAUAACAUAUUUAUGUCUUUCCAUCAUUUUGUUAAAACCAAAACCUUCUUGAUAUUCAUAUUAGUGAGUUUGUUCGUUAUUGGGUACGCUUUUUAAGCUUAAGUAAGAAACGUCCUUCUUGCUUACUUGCUUGUGACUAAAUGAUCUUACUUUCGUAUGGUUUUCACACUGAUGUUGUACUAGAAAAUUAGUAAGUCUUUGGUCAUUCAAAAGAAGACCAUGAUGAGCUACUCCUAAGUGUUGUGGGCGUGUACUACAUGGUCAAACGGCUAAGUAUUUCAUGGUAAAGACAUUGCUACUAUCUAUAUGUUUGGUUGUUUGGAUGUGAUAGGAUAUAGGAUUGGGUGGAGCAUGGAGCAUGGAGCUUAAGUGGCAGAUUGUUGUUUGAUGGCUGAAGCAGAGAGGUAUAUGGGAAAGAAUAGGAAGCGAGAGAACAAAGGGAAAUGGGGUCUACACCUCAAGCCUUUUCAAGCUAUGUGAAUGAUUUGGACCUGAUAGAUUUCAUGGAGUUGCAGCUGCUGUCUCACAGUUGAGAAGCGUCUGUAGAAUGCUGCAAGUGAUCUACAAUGAGAUAUUCAAAGGGAAUAUGACGAAAAAGUUGGAUGCAUACAACCUGUUGAAGAUUGAUCCGACCAAAGUGCACUGAGUUUACAGUAUACUUGUGAAGAAGGGUACUGCUCAACAUGAAAACAUCUAAACGCAUGUCUAUGGCUCUUUACAUUGUAUGUUUAUGCCUCUUUACAUUAUCAGUACAUUUAUAGUGAACUUGAAGCUAGAAUA